AAUUUGAUGAAAACAUUGGUCCGUGUUUAUGAUUUUCUAUGAUUAUCAGUUCCAACCAUUUCUGAAUUGA